rnacentral:misc_RNA from 1 species
GAAAGUUCGAUGCCGAAAGGCGUCCCACCUUCAAACCAUUGUGAAACCACCCGUUGCUUCGGCGGCGCUGGAACGCCUUCGCCGGCCGCCCUCGUCAGUCCGCCCGAGGCUCCAAAACCAAAACUUUUUCUGUAACCGUAGUCUGAAAAACUAAGAUUUAAUUCGUUA